CAGUAACGUCACGAAGAAAGAUUUAAUUACUUCAAGGGAAAAUCUCUCCUAACUGACUCUGAGCGGAACCCUUCUUUCUCAAUGGAGACUAACUGUUCUCCAUCCAGUUUUUAAUGGCGGCGUGACGCAGCUUGCAGUGGCCACUCCAGAGCUGAUUAUCUGUUAUUUGUGAAGAGGGG